UGGGGAAUCUUGCGCAAUGGGCGAAAGCCUGACGCAGCGACGCCGCGUGAGUGAUGAAGGCCUUCGGGUUGUAAAGCUCUGUGGGGAGAGACGAAUAAGUGCAAGCUAAUACCUUGCAUGAUGACGGUAUCUCCUUAGCAAGCACCGGCUAACUCUGUGCCAGCAGCCGCGGUAAGACAGAGGGUGCAAACGUUGUUCGGAAUUACUGGGCGUAAAGCGAGUGUAGGCGGUUUCCUAAGUCAGGUGUGGAAGCCCCGGGCUCAACCCGGGAAGUGCACUUGAAACUGGGAGGCUAGAGUACUGGAGAGGUUGGUGGAAUUCUCGGUGUAGAGGUGAAAUUCGUAGAUAUCGAGAGGAACACCGGUGGCGAAGGCGGCCAACUGGACAGAUACUGACGCUGAGACUCGAAAGCGUGGGGAGCAAACA
rnacentral:rRNA from 1 species